rnacentral:SRP_RNA from 1 species
GCUGGGCGUGGUGGCUCACGCCUGUAAUCCCAGCACUUUGGGAGGCUGAGGCAGGUGGAUCACCUGAGGUCAGGAGUUCAAGACCAGCCUGGCCAACACAGUGAAACCCUGUCUCUA